rnacentral:rRNA from 1 species
UACGGAGGGUGCGAGCGCUGUCCGGAAUCACUGGGCGUAAAGGGCGCGUAGGCGGCGCGGGUAGUCAUCGGUGAAAGUUCAGGGCUCAACUCUGAAUCGGCCGGUGAUACUCCCGUGCUCGAGCACUGUAGAGGCAGGUGGAAUUCCGGGUGUAGCGGUGGAAUGCGUAGAGAUCCGGAAGAACACCGGUGGCGAAGGCGGCCUGCUGGGCAGUAGCUGACGCUGAUGCGCGACAGCGUGGGGAGCAAACAGG